UUUAUGAGAGUUUGAUCCUGGCUCAGGACGAACGCUGGCGGCGUGCCUAAUACAUGCAAGUAGAACGCUGAAGUCUGGUGCUUGCACUAGACGGAUGAGUUGCGAACGGGUGAGUAACGCGUAGGUAACCUGCCUCAUAGCGGGGGAUAACUAUUGGAAACGAUAGCUAAUACCGCAUAACAGUAUUAACCGCAUGGUAGAUACUUGAAAGGAGCAAUUGCUUCACUAUGAGAUGGACCUGCGUUGUAUUAGCUAGUUGGUGGGGUAACGGCUCACCAAGGCUUCUAUACAUAGCCGACCUGAGAGGGUGAUCGGCCACACUGGGACUGAGACACGGCCCAGACUCCUACGGGAGGCAGCAGUAGGGAAUCUUCGGCAAUGGGGGCAACCCUGACCGAGCAACGCCGCGUGAGUGAAGAAGGUUUUCGGAUCGUAAAGCUCUGUUGUAAGAGAAGAACUGUGAGAAGAGUGGAAAGUUUCUCAUUUGACGGUAUCUUA
rnacentral:rRNA from 1 species